rnacentral:rRNA from 1 species
GAAGGGAGCUUGCUCCCGGAUGUUAGCGGCGGACGGGUGAGUAACACGUGGGUAACCUGCCUGUAAGACUGGGAUAACUCCGGGAAACCGGAGCUAAUACCGGAUAGUUCCUUGAACCGCAUGGUUCAAGGAUGAAAGACGGUUUCGGCUGUCACUUACAGAUGGACCCGCGGCGCAUUAGCUAGUUGGUGAGGUAACGGCUCACCAAGGCGACGAUGCGUAGCCGACCUGAGAGGGUGAUCGGCCACACUGGGACUGAGACACGGCCCAGACUCCUACGGGAGGCAGCAGUAGGGAAUCUUCCGCAAUGGACGAAAGUCUGACGGAGCAACGCCGCGUGAGUGAUGAAGGUUUUCGGAUCGUAAAGCUCUGUUGUUAGGGAAGAACAAGUGCAAGAGUAACUGCUUGCACCUUGACGGUACCUAACCAGAAAGCCACGGCUAACUACGUGCCAGCAGCCGCGGUAAUACGUAGGUGGCAAGCGUUGUCCGGAAUUAUUGGGCGUAAAGGGCUCGCAGGCGGUUUCUUAAGUCUGAUGUGAAAGCCCCCGGCUCAACCGGGGAGGGUCAUUGGAAACUGGGAA